CUUGGAGGAAUGUAUAGCAACUGCUAGUUGCACUAAAAACUUUAGUGUAAAAUCAACUUAGUUGAAUAAAAUUCUGGGUAGAAUUAUGAUAAUGACAUUAUCUGUCCAUAAGUCUUGACCAAAUUACGUGCCAGCAGUCGCGGUAAUACGUAGAAGACAAGUGUUAUUCAUCUUUAAUAGGUUUAAAGGGUACUUAGACGGUAAAUCAAGCCUUAAAAAGGGACUAAUUUGCUAGAGUUUUAUGUGAAAAAGUAUUAAAGUACUGCUGGUGUAGAGAUGAAAUUCUGUCAUACCUUGAAUGGCACAGGUUAAGGCGAAAGCAUCUUUUUAUGUAAAAACUGACGUUGAAGGACGAAGGCUUUGUGUCUCGAACAGGAUUAGAUACCCUAGUAGUCUAAGCAGACAAUGAUGAAUGUCAUAGAUUAGAUGUAAUUUGAUCUAUAAAUGAAAGUGUAAGCAUUCCACCUCAAGAGUAAUUUGGCAACAUUGGAACUGAAAUCAUUAGACCGUUUCUGAAACCAGUAGUGAAGUAUGUUGUUUAAUUUGAUAAUCCGCAAAAAACCUUACCACAAUAUGAAUAGAUAUAUUUUAUCAUACAAGCGUUGCACGGCUGUCUUCAGUUAAUGUCGUGAGACUUUGGUUAGUUCCAUAAAAUUAACGUAAACCCUUACUUUAUUUACUAAUAAAGUAGUUCACCGCUAUAUUGGAUGUGAUAAGAGGGAUCAAGACAAGUCAUCAUGACC
rnacentral:rRNA from 1 species